rnacentral:rRNA from 1 species
AUCAUCUGCAUCCUGGAUGCAUUGCACCGCGCAGAAUGAGUGGCGAACGGGUGAGUAACACGUGAGUAACCUGCCCCUGACUUCGGGAUAAGCCCGGGAAACUGGGUCUAAUACCGGAUACGACUGCCGGACGCAUGUCUGGUGGUGGAAAGUUUUUUCGGUUGGGGAUGGGCUCGCGGCCUAUCAGUUUGUUGGUGAGGUAAUGGCUCACCAAGACGACGACGGGUAGCCGGCCUGAGAGGGCGACCGGCCACACUGGGACUGAGACACGGCCCAGACUCCUACGGGAGGCAGCAGUGGGGAAUAUUGCACAAUGGGGGAAACCCUGAUGCAGCGACGCAGCGUGCGGGAUGACGGCCUUCGGGUUGUAAACCGCUUUCAGCAGGGAAGAAGCGCAAAGUGACGGUACCUGCAGAAGAAGUACCCGGCUAACUACGUGCCAGCAGCCGCGGUAAUACGUAGGGUACGAGCGUUGUCCGGGAAUUAUUGGGCGUAAAGAGCUCGUAGGUGGUUGGUCACGUCUGCUGUGGAAACGCAACGCUUAACGUUGCGCGUGCAGUGGGUACGGGCUGACUAGAGUGCAGUAGGGGAGUCUGGAAUUCCUGGUGUAGCGGUGAAAUGCGCAGAUAUCAGGAGGAACACCGGUGGCGAAGGCGGGACUCUGGGCUGUAACUGACACUGAGGAGCGAAAGCAUGGGGAGCGAACAGGAUUAGAUACCCUGGUAGUCCAUGCCGUAAACGUUGGGCACUAGGUGUGGGGGGCAUUCCACGUUCUCCGCGCCGUAGCUAACGCAUUAAGUGCCCCGCCUGGGGAGUACGGUCGCAAGGCUAAAACUCAAAGGAAUUGACGGGGGCCCGCACAAGCGGGCGGAGCAUGCGGAUUAAUUUCGAUGCAACGCGAAGAACCUUACCAAGGGCUUGACAUACACCGGACCGUCCCUGGAAACAGGUCCUCUUCUUUGAAGCUGGUGUACAGGUGGUGCAUGAUUGUCGUCAGCUCGUGUCGUGAGAUGUUGGGUUAAGUCCCGCAACGAGCGCAACCCUCGUUCUAUGUUGCCAGCACGUGAUGGUGGGAACUCAUAGGAGACUGCCGGGGUCAACUCGGAGGAAGGUGGGGAUGACGUCAAAUCAUCAUGCCCUUUAUGUCUUGGGCUUCACGCAUGCUACAAUGGCUGGUACAGAGAGAGGCGAACCCGUGAGGGCAAGCGAAUCCCUUAAAGCCAGUCUCAGUUCGGAUCGUAGUCUGCAAUUCGACUACGUGAAGUCGGAGUCGCUAGUAAUCGCAGAUCAGCAACGCUGCGGUGAAUACGUUCCCGGGCCUUGUACACACCGCCCGUCA